rnacentral:rRNA from 1 species
UACAGAGGUCCCAAGCGUUGUUCGGAUUCACUGGGCGUAAAGGGUGCGUAGGCGGUCGGGUAAGUCUGACGUGAAAUCUCCGGGCCUAACCCGGAGACUGCGUCGGAUACUAUCCGGCUAGAGGAUUGGAAGGGAGACUGGAAUACUUGGUGUAGCAGUGAAAUGCGUAGAUAUCAAGUGGAACACCAGUGGCGAAGGCGAGUCUCUGGACAAUUCCUGACGCUGAGGCACGAAAGCCAGGGGAGCAAACGGG